rnacentral:rRNA from 1 species
UUUAUAAUAAAUAAAAUCUGCUCCAUGUUGAUAUAAAUAGCCGCAAUACUUACAUUGUGCUAAGGUAGCAUAAUCAUUAGUCUUUUAAUUAAAGACCUGUAUGAAUGAUUUAACAAUUUAAUUUCUUUUUUAAUCAAAAUAUUUUAAUUUAAACUAAACAUAAAAAUGUUUUUAUAGAUAAAAAAGACGAUAAGACCCUAUUGAACUUUACUUAAGUUUAGCUGGGGAAGCUAAUUAAAAACUAUUUUAAUUAUAAUUAUAAUUAAAAUUUCCAAUUUAAUUGAAAUUAAAAAAGUUACCAUAGGGAUAACAGCGUAAUAUAUUUUUAAAGCUCUUAUUAGAAAAUAUGGUUACGACCUCGAUGUUGAAUUAAUUUAACUUUUAAACGCAAUUGUAUAAAAAGUAGGUCUGUUCGACCCAUAAAUAAUUACA